rnacentral:rRNA from 1 species
AACGCGAAGAACCUUACCAGGUCUUGACAUCCUUUGAAGCUUUUAGAGAUAGAAGUGUUCUCUUCGGGGACAAAGUGACAGGUGGUGCAUGGUCGUCGUCAGCUCGUGUCGUGAGAUGUUGGGUUAAGUCCCGCAACGAGCGCAACCCUUAUUGUUAGUUGCCAGCAUUCAGAUGGGCACUCUAGCGAGACUGCCGGUGACAAACCGGAGGAAGGCGGGGACGACGUCAGAUCAUCAUGCCCCUUAUGACCUGGGCUACACACGUGCUACAAUGGCGUAUACAACGAGUUGCCAGCCCGCGAGGGUGAGCUAAUCUCUUAAAGUACGUCUCAGUUCGGAUUGUAGUCUGCAACUCGACUACAUGAAGUCGGAAUCGCUAGUAAUCGCGGAUCAGCACGCCGCGGUGAAUACGUUCCCGGGUCUUGUACACACCG